GAUGAAGAACGCAGCGAAAUGCGAUACUUGGUGUGAAUUGCAGAAUCCCGUGAACCAUCGAGUCUUUGAACGCAAGUUGCGCCCGAAGCCAUCAGGUUGAGGGCACGUCUGCCUGGGCGUCACAUAUCGUUGCUCGAUGCCUAUCGCAUUGCGAUAGGACUUAGGGCGAAUGAUGGCUUCCCGUGAGCGUUGUUGCCUCGCGGUUGGUUGAAAAUCGAGUGCAUGGUGUCGGGUGUACCAUGAUGGAUGGUGGUUGAGUGAUGAUGCUCGAGACCAAUCAUGGGUAACUCCACCAGAAUUGGGCUCGGUGACCCACAUGCGUCCCUUGGAUGCUCCCUAAGGAGACCUCAGGUCAGGCGGGGCUACCCGCUGAGUUUAAGCAUAUCAAUAAGCGGAGGA
rnacentral:misc_RNA from 1 species